AACGAACGCUGGCGGCGCGCCUAACACAUGCAAGUCGAACGAGAAGCUGUAGCAAUACAGUUGUACAGUGGCGAACGGGUGAGGAAUACAUGGGUGACCUACCCUCGAGUGGGGAACUAACCAGCCGAAAGGUUGGCUAAUACCGCGUACGUUUCCCAGUCUGCGGAUUGGGAAGAAAGCGAUGCCGUGGUAUCGCGCUCAAGGUUGGCUCAUGUCCUAUCAGCUUGUUGGUGAGGUAACGGCUCACCAAGGCAACGACGGUAGCUGGUCUGAGAGGACGAUCAGCCACACU
rnacentral:rRNA from 1 species